AUGGAGGCAAGGUCAGAGGAAAAGGGAAAAAUGGGAAAGAUUUUAUUUAAAGCCCCUGGUCAUUCUUGCCUUUCCGCCCGCCCACCACGACCCCUCAAGCCAGAUGCCGUCUCUAGUUCGGGAACGUUGGAUGAGGAUGCCAGGCACUCUGCUUUUCCUAAACAACUUCCAAGAACCCCGGAACAUUUCUUAAAGUGUCUGGAACGAAGCUUUAACCUCGCCUGCUCCAUCAGCCUGGGACGGAAAAGACGCGAGGGGCGAAGAAGAGUUAGGUCUACAAGCCAGGUUCAAGGCCACCAACUGAGGCACCUGUCCCGAGACAGGACCAUUCUAAUCUGCCCUGAAAAGGACAUCCCAUUGAUCAUACUAAAUUUGUGGAUGGAUACCUAUGUGUUGACCAGACCCUCCCUCUUCAAUGAAAACUGCCUCUCCUUCCACUCCAUCUGUGAGGCACCCUUGGAUGCUGACAUGUGCUUACAUAGGACUUCCUGUCCACAGCCAGAAUUAGCCAGAAUUCACUGACCCAUGGUUGGACUCCUAAAAUACUCAAGAUGAGAGACAUGUUACUUUUCUUUACUAUAGUAACUAUCAAAUGCAUCCCAUAACCUUAUGUUGUAAACGUCAAAUAUGCACAAUAAAAUUUAUUUGAAAAAAUAAAGCUGGAAAAUUGAAAGUAAUGAAUGUUCAAUUAAAAUCUGCAAACAAGCUAAUAAAUAAAUACUCAAGAUGGACCAGUGACAGCCUUUCUCUAGAGUUUUUGAUUUGAGGCCAAGAAGGUUAGUGCAGCCUUUCUCCCAUGGCUGUCACUGUGAAGAUAAACAUUUGGGAAUUGAUGGCAGCCUUGUUUCUCCACCAGGCUGAAGAAACUAGGACCUGCGGGGGCUGAGAUUGGAGUGAAACAGAUGUGAAGAGAAAAGUGCUGGGUCCAGGUGGUCCUGGGGCCCAGCCAUGCUCUUUGUUUUUUUUUGUUUGUUUGUUUUUUGUUUGUUUGUUUGUUUUGUUUUAAUAGAUUUAAAUUGGUUCCUGCCAGGUACAGUCAAAGGCCUUUUUACCUGCUUCUCAGAGAAUUUCCCUCCGCCUGCCUGUGGCUAAUUCCUUCUCCUGCACCCUUGGUUCAGCCUCACCUGGUGACCCUUGUUCCAUCACUUCCACCACUUCUCUAGAAUCUUCAGUCAUUUCAGCAAUACAUAUGUUCAUCUUCCUGCCCAAAAACUGAAUAAGCAAAGACUUUCUUUCAUCUCUGACCCUCUUCAACUUCUGCCCUUCCCUUCUACUCACUAUCUCUAUUUUCUCACCUCCUACUUAAUGCCCAAUCUGCUGCUGCUAUCUUGCUCCAUUUCUUCUUCCCAUUUUCCUGAGGCUACUCUCUUGACAGGGAGUGCAUUGCAGAAUACAUCCAAUUUCUUGUGUUUAUGUUACUUGUCUGCA
ensembl:lincRNA